AAGCUUUAACUUCUACUGCUUCGGCCAAGGAUUCUCCCGUUGAGAAGGUUGAGAACAUCACAGAAGUGGAUGGAGUUGUAAUGGUGAAAAAACGAGGUGGCUAUAUGCUUGCCACAGUAAUGGUACAAAACCAAGGUGCUUUUACUUUUGCCGCUCUUAGCUUCAAUUACAAAACAAGGGUUGUGAAAGAAGCGUUCACUGUCCUGCAUGAUUGUCUGGUUCUAGCAAUGGCAAGUCAUGUUUAACUCCAGCAGCUACACUAACAGACUUUGUCAUGCUGCAAGCAGUAAAAGAACCAAAUAUCUUCGAAGCACUAUAAGGUCGA